GCUCCGUUGGUGAACCAGCGGAGGGAUCAUUAUCGAGUUUAUAACUCCCAAACCCUAUGUGAACUUACCACUUGUUGCUUUGGCGCGCGCUUCGGUGCCGCCGAGGACACUUAAACUCUUUGUUUUUAUAAGCAUUUCUGAGUGGCCGAAAGGCAAAAUACAAAUGAAUCAAAACUUUCAACAACGGAUCUCUUGGUCCUG
rnacentral:misc_RNA from 1 species